rnacentral:rRNA from 1 species
AGAGUUUGAUCAUGGCUCAGAACGAACGCUGGCGGCAUGGAUUAGGCAUGCAAGUCGAACGCUUGUAGCAAUACAGGAGUGGCGAAAGGGUGAGGAACACGUGAGUAACUUGCCCCCAAGUUGGGAAUAACUCCGGGAAACUGGAGCUAAUACCGAAUGUGAUUAUAGAGUCGCAUGACUUUAUGAUUAAAGAUUUAUCGCUUGGGGAUAGGCUCGCGUUCCAUUAGCUAGUUGGUGAGGUAACGGCUUACCAGGGCUCUGACGGGUAGCUGGUCUGAGAGGACGACCAGCCACACUGGAACUGAGACACGGUCCAGACACCUACGGGUGGCAGCAGUCGAGAAUUUUUCACAAUGGGGGAAACCCUGAUGGAGCGACGCCGCGUGGGGGAUGAAUGGCUUCGGCCCGUAAACCCCUGUCAUUCGCGAUCAAUGCGUGUUGUUUAAGAGAUGACAUGUUGAUAGUAGCGGAAGAGGAAGGGACGGCUAACUCUGUGCCAGCAGCCGCGGUAAUACAGAGGUCCCGAGCGUUGUUCGGAUUCACUG